GAACUGGGUUUCAAGCCCAGCCACAUAGGCCCUGGACCCCACGCUCUUAAACGCUAUCAUGUGGAGGGAGUAUUUGGGACAGGAGUCUUUCUCUGUGCACAGGAAGAAACAGAAGAAACAGAGACCAGGAGGGCAUCUUCAGUUUUUGUCUCCAGAACUCACUAGUGGUCAUUAAAAUGCCAGGGAACAGUUCUUGACUCCUUUCCACUCCGCUACCUGCCCUUCAGACAAAUCUCCACCUGCUCUACAGUGGCCUAACCAGACUGCUUCCUUGAUGGCAGUGACAUCACUACGAGUGGAUUCAACAUGGUGGCGCCAUAGCACCAAGUGCCUCUUACAUGUUUGGAAGUAAAUGAACAGGUACGGUUCCAUUGCUUCCUGCUGGCCAUUGGUUUGUACAUCGACCCAUUUGUUCACCGGGCAUUCGAUGGCUUAUAGACCUGUAUUGAGCCCUGCUGGCUUCGUUUGAAAGAUCUCUGGCAAAGACUCAGGAAAUUGAAAGUCUAGUCCCAGACGCUUGGAUAUGUUUCUCAGCUUCUUCAUACCUCAAUUUCCUCAAAUGUAAAAUGGGGGUGAUGAUCAAAAGGGAUGAUAACACCCAUUACUUGCAUGUUGUGAGGAUAUAAUACCACCAACGCCGUAUCACACACACACACACAUUCAUGCAUGUGUAGUGUAAUAGAGCAUCCCGCGGAAUGCUCAGUAGCACCUGGGACUGUUUUACCAGAGAAAAAGACCCGAGGACUUGCCUCAGUUGGCUCUGCUCCCAGAGGAAGUGCCAGCACCAGGCUGAACCAAGCACCAUCCAACCCAAUGGGGAAUUUCAACAAAGCAAGGGUUAAGUCACAUUCGUUUGUUAAUCUUUUAAAGAGUCAUGUAAAAACCA